rnacentral:rRNA from 1 species
GGAGUGGACUCCUACGGGAGGCAGCAGUGGGGAAUUUUGGACAAUGGGCGCAAGCCUGAUCCAGCCAUGCCGCGUGUCUGAAGAAGGCCUUCGGGUUGUAAAGGACUUUUGUCAGGGAAGAAAAGGGCGGGGUUAAUACCCCUGUCUGAUGACGGUACCUGAAGAAUAAGCACCGGCUAACUACGUGCCAGCAGCCGCGGUAAUACGUAGGGUGCGAGCGUUCAUCGGAAUUACUGGGCGUAAAGCGGGCUCAGACGGUUACUUAAGCAGGAUGUGAAAUCCCCGGGCUCAACCUGGGAAGUGCGUUCUGAACUGGUUGACUAGAGUGUGUCAGAGGGAAGUAGAAUUCCACGUGUAGCAGUGAAAUGCGUAGAGAUGUGGAGGAAUACCGAUGGCGAAGGCAGCCUCCUGGGAUAACACUGACGUUCAUGCUCGAAAGCGUGGGUAGCAAACAGGAUUAGAAACCCGGGUAGUCCU